rnacentral:rRNA from 1 species
GGGGGGGCCUAUACAUGCAAGUCGAACGAGAUUAAGGGGCUUGCUCCUUAUGAAAGUGGCGCACGGGUGCGUAACGCGUAUGCAACCUACCUCAAUCAGGGGGAUAGCCCGAAGAAAUUCGGAUUAACACCGCAUAAAAACACAGGAUAGCAUUAUCUAAUGUUCAAAUAUUUAUAGGAUUGAGAUGGGCAUGCGUGUCAUUAGCUAGUUGGCGGGGUAACGGCCCACCAAGGCGACGAUGACUAGGGGAUCUGAGAGGAUGACCCCCCACACUGGUACUGAGACACGGACCAGACUCCUACGGGAGGCAGCAGUAAGGAAUAUUGGUCAAUGGAGGCAACUCUGAACCAGCCAUGCCGCGUGCAGGAAGACAGCCCUCUGGGUCGUAAACUGCUUUUAUUCGGGAAUAAACCUUAUUACGUGUAAUAAGCUGAAUGUACCGAAGGAAUAAGGAUCGGCUAACUCCGUGCCAGCAGCCGCGGUAAUACGGAGGAUCCAAGCGUUAUCCGGAUUUAUUGGGUUUAAAGGGUGCGUAGGCGGCUUAUUAAGUCAGGGGUGAAAGACGGUGGCUCAACCAUCGCAGUGCCUUUGAUACUGAUGAGCUUGAAUGAACUAGAGGUAGGCGGAAUGUGACAAGUAGCGGUGAAAUGCAUAGAUAUGUCACAGAACACCGAUUGCGAAGGCAGCUUACUAUGGUUUUAUUGACGCUGAGGCACGAAAGCGUGGGGAUCAAACAGGAUUAGAUACCCUGGUAGUCCACGCCCUAAACGAUGAAUACUCGCUGUUAGCGAUAUACAGUUAGCGGCUAAGCGAAAGCGUUAAGUAUUCCACCUGGGGAGUACGCCCGCAAGGGUGAAACUCAAAGGAAUUGACGGGGGCCCGCACAAGCGGAGGAGCAUGUGGUUUAAUUCGAUGAUACGCGAGGAACCUUACCCGGGCUUGAAAGUUAGUGAAUGAUCUAGAGAUAGAUCAGUGAGCAAUCACACGAAACUAGGUGCUGCAUGGCUGUCGUCAGCUCGUGCCGUGAGGUGUUGGGUUAAGUCCCGCAACGAGCCGCAACCCCUAUGUUUAGGUGCCAGCACGUAAAGGUGGGGGACUCUAACCAGACUGCCUGUGCAAACCAGAGAAGAAGGAGGGGACGACGUCCAGUC